GAUUGUUUGAAUCCUGGCUCAGAUUGAACGCUGGCGGCGUGCCUAACACAUGCAAGUCGAGCGGUAACGCGGGAGCAAUCCUGGCGACGAGCGGCGAAGCGGGUGAGUAACGCUUCGGAAUCUACCCAGUAGUGGGGAAUAACCAACCGAAAGGUUGGCUAAUGCCGCAUACGACUGAGGUGAAAGGGGGGGAUCGCAAGACCUCUCGCUAUUGGAUGAGCCGAAGUCGGAUUAGCUAGUUGGUAGGGUAACGGCCUACCAAGGCGACAAUCCGUAGCUGGUCUGAGAGGACGACCAGCCACACUGGGACUGAGACACGGCCCAGACUCCUACGGGAGGCAGCAGUGGGGAAUAUUGGACAAUGGGGGCAACCCUGAUCCAGCGACGCCGCGUGUGUGAAGAAGGCCUGCGGGUUGUAAAGCACUUUUAGUGGGGAUGAAAAGCUCAGGGCUAAUACCCUUGAGUCUUGACCUAACCCAAAGAAAAAGCACCGGCUAACUCUGUGCCAGCAGCCGCGGUAAUACAGAGGGUGCGAGCGUUAAUCGGAAUUACUGGGCGUAAAGCGUGCGUAGACGGUUCUGUAAGUCGGAUGUGAAAUCCCCGGGCUCAACCUGGGAAUUGCAUUCGAGACUGCAAAGCUAGGGUGCGGAAGAGGGAAGCGGAAUUUCCGGUGUAGCGGUGAAAUGCGUAGAUAUCGGAAGGAACAUCAGUGGCGAAAGCGGCUUCCUGGUCCAGCACCGACGUUCAGGCACGAAAGUGUGGGGAGCAAACAGGAUUAGAUACCCUGGUAGUCCACGCCAUAAACGAUGAGAACUAGACGUUGAGAGGGUAAGCCUCCCAGUGUCGCAGCUAACGCGCUAAGUCUCCGCCUGGG
rnacentral:rRNA from 1 species